CCCACUAUGUAAAAGACACUGCUAGAGUUUAUUACUCUGGGUGUUUUCAAAGGGCAGUGCAAUAGAAAUUCACCAUUUGUCAUCAUUGGUUUUUUUGUGGUUGUCAAACCUGAUAUGACUAAUGAUGUGGUC
ensembl:snoRNA